AAGAACCUUACCAAGACUUGACAUCCCGCUGACCGCUCUAGAGAUAGAGUUUCCCUUCGGGGCAGCGGUGACAGGUGGUGCAUGGUUGUCGUCAGCUCGUGUCGUGAGAUGUUGGGUUAAGUCCCGCAACGAGCGCAACCCUUACAUUGUGUUGCCAUCAUUUGGUUGGGCACUCACAAUGGACUGCCGGUGACAAACCGGAGGAAGGCGGGGAUGACGUCAAAUCAUCAUGCCCCUUAUGUCUUGGGCUACACACGUGCUACAAUGGGCGGUACAAAGGGAUGCGAAACCGCGAGGUGGAGCCAAUCUCAUAAAGCCGUUCGUAGUUCGGAUUGCAGGCUGCAACUCGCCUGCAUGAAGCCGGAAUUGCUAGUAAUCGCGGAUCAG
rnacentral:rRNA from 1 species